CAUGCAUGUCUAAGUACAUGCCAAAACAAGGCGAAACCGCGAAUGGCUCAUUAAAUCAGUUAUGGUUCCUUAGAUUGUUUCUUCCUACUUGGAUAACUGGUCGGUGCUGACGCAAUGUGAUUCCUGCCCAGUGCUGUGAAUGUCAACGUGAAGAGAUUCAUGAAAGCGCGGGUAAACGGCGGGAGUAACUAUGACUCUCUUGUUUUUUUAACUAUGACUCUCUUUUGGGACACAAAGUCGGUUGGGUUGUAUCCCGCCGUCAAGUGCCAACUCCACGUCCCCGUCGUGUGUCCUGGGGGCGCAGGUCUUAUUAUUCCUGCGUCUGCUAACGGAGCUCUGGCUAUCAUUGGGAAAUGGGGUUGCCGACCCCCUUCCCUGUAAUUACUUGGUGUGAAAAGCAAAAAGAAUAAAGAUG
rnacentral:ncRNA from 1 species